UUGAUCCUGGCUCAGGAUGAACGCUAGCGGCAGGCCUAACACAUGCAAGUCGAGGGGCAGCGGGGAAAAGCUUGCUUUUCCGCCGGCGACCGGCGCACGGGUGCGCACCGCGUAUGGAACCUACCUUUUACAGGGGAAUAGCCCAGGGAAACUUGGAUUAAUGCCCCGUGGCACCGCGAUCCGGCAUCGGGACGCGGUUAAAGCCUUCGGGCGGUAGAAGAUGGCCAUGCGUCCCAUUAGUUAGUUGGUAAGGUAACGGCUUACCAAGACAGCGAUGGGUAGGGGCCCUGAG
rnacentral:rRNA from 1 species